UACGUAGGGUGCAAGCGUUAAUCGGAAUUACUGGGCGUAAAGCGUGCGCAGGCGGUUAUGUAAGACAGAUGUGAAAUCCCCGGGCUCAACCUGGGAACUGCAUUUGUGACUGCAUAGCUAGAGUACGGUAGAGGGGGAUGGAAUUCCGCGUGUAGCAGUGAAAUGCGUAGAUAUCUGGAGGAAUACCGGUGGCGAAGGCGGCAUCCUGGACCAUAACUGACGCUGAGGCGCGAAAGCUAGGGGAGCAAACGGG
rnacentral:rRNA from 1 species